rnacentral:rRNA from 1 species
CCGGCGCACGGGGUGAGUAACACGUAUGCAACCUGCCUGCCACAGCCGGAUAAUCGGGAGAAAUUCCGUCUAAUACGGCAUAAUGCAUCGACGGGACAUCCUGUUGGUGCCAAAGGUUAAUUCCGGUGGCGGAUGGGCAUGCGGCGCAUUAGGCAGUAGGCGGGGUAACGGCCCACCUAACCGACGAUGCGUAGGGGUUCUGAGAGGAAGGUCCCCCACACUGGUACUGAGACACGGACCAGACUCCUACGGGAGGCAGCAG